AGAGUUUGAUCCUGGCUCAGAAUGAACGCUGGCGGCAUGCCUAACACAUGCAAGUCGAACGAAGGCUUCGGCCUUAGUGGCGCACGGGUGCGUAACGCGUGGGAAUCUGCCCUCAGGUUCGGAAUAACAGCGAGAAAUUGCUGCUAAUACCGGAUGAUAUCGCGAGAUCAAAGAUUUAUCGCCUGAGGAUGAGCCCGCGUAGGAUUAGCUAGUUGGUGUGGUAAAGGCGCACCAAGGCGACGAUCCUUAGCUGGUCUGAGAGGAUGAUCAGCCACACUGGGACUGAGACACGGCCCAGACUCCUACGGGAGGCAGCAGUGGGGAAUAUUGGACAAUGGGCGAAAGCCUGAUCCAGCAAUGCCGCGUGAGUGAUGAAGGCCUUAGGGUUGUAAAGCUCUUUUACCCGGGAUGAUAAUGACAGUACCGGGAGAAUAAGCUCCGGCUAACUCCGUGCCAGCAGCCGCGGUAAUACGGAGGGAGCUAGCGUUAUUCGGAAUUACUGGGCGUAAAGCGCACGUAGGCGGCUUUGUAAGUUAGAGGUGAAAGCCUGGAGCUCAACUCCAGAAUUGCCUUUAAGACUGCAUCGCUUGAAUCCAGGAGAGGUGAGUGGAAUUCCGAGUGUAGAGGUGAAAUUCGUAGAUAUUCGGAAGAACACCAGUGGCGAAGGCGGCUCACUGGACUGGUAUUGACGCUGAGGUGCGAAAGCGUGGGGGAGCAAACAGGAUUAGAUACCCUGGUAGUCCACGCCGUAAACGAUGAUAACUAGCUGUCGGGGCUCUUAGAGCUUCGGUGGCGCAGCU
rnacentral:rRNA from 1 species